UUGGAGAUUUGAUUCUUAGCGUUGCCUUUCUCAGCAGCCUGAAUGGUAGCAUGUUGGACGUGGCGUCUACCUGGCUGAGUGCAAAAAGCUUCAUUUGUCCACUUCUGGCAUUCCUCAUGAGGCCGACAUUGAGCUGUAAUUGACUCUGUGAAAGAACUCGGCACGUCAGUGAUGGCACGCCGGCCAUGCCCCGCUGCAUGCUCUCUCUCUCUCUCUCUCUCUCUCUCUUUCUCUCUCUCUCUCCCACCCUGUCACUGAGUGCUACCAGGAAGCCGGCCAAGACUCUUGGAGAGCCAGCAUGUGUUUACCACCCUCUGAAUGCGUGCCACAUCAAGAGCUCUGCCUGCCAUCUGAAUGCUCUGUAAUAUCAAUAAUUGAUGCUCUUGAGGAGUAGUAAUUAAAUUAGUUAAUUAUGCCGGUAAAAUUACAUGUAAUUACGAGACUGGAGGGUAUGUUUAGUAAAUUAGUCUCAUCCAUGCUCAGUGUGUGUACUGCUGCCAAAUUUUAUUCCUUGAUGACUAGGUAAUUCUGAUACCCUCUCCAUGUUUAAACACAAACACGCCGUUUGCUCUAAGAUGAUGUCUGAUCACGACUUCACCGCCGAGAAUAGAACAGAAUAGAAAUAUCCUUUAUUUACGUGUCAGGGAAAUAGGAGACUCAAAUAAAGAUACCAACAAUAACAAAAACUAAGAGAAAACCAAUGAGCAGUGUAACAAUCUUUUAAAUAUGUGAAAAAGAUAAAACUAAAAGAGCUUGCCUCCUGAAAAGCUACGUGAAGAAUCAUUGAACAAAAACACAAACGCAACACUUUUGUCUUUGCUCCCAUUUUUCCUGAGCUGAACUAAAAAAGAUCUGAAACAUUUUCUAUGUUCACAAAACAACCAUUUCUCUCAAGCACUGUUCACAGAUGUGUUAUAGUGAGCUCUUCUCCUUUGCAUAGACAAUCCAUUCCACCUCACAGGUGUGGCUUAUCAAGAUGCUGAUUAGACAGCAUGAUUACUGCACAGGUGUGCCUAAAGCUGGUCACAAUAAAAGGCCGCUCUGAAAUGUGCUGCAUUGUCACACAGCACAAUGCCACAGAUGUGGUGAGUUCUGAGGGAGCGUGCAAUUGGCUUGCCGACAGCUGGGAUGUCCAGCAGAGCUGUUGCCUGUGAACUGAACGUUCAUUCCUUCACCAUAAUCUGCCUUCGAAGGCAUUUCAGAGAACAUGGCUGAACAUCAACUGGACUCAGAACUGCAGAUGUAACCACACCAACCCAGGACGUCCAAGAUCAUCUGAGCCCAGCCACCCAGAGAGCUGCUGGAACAAUCGUUUUGGGCAACCAAACGAUUUCUGCUCAAACUGCCAGGAUCUCAACCUGACUGCAGUUCAUUGUUGAAACAGACAGCGUGUGUGGCAUUGUGUGGGUGAAUGGUUACUGAUGUCAUCAUUGUGGAUGGAGUAGCCCUUGGUGGCGGUGGGGAUUUAUGGAAUGGGCCUACAUAUGUUAUGGACUCUGAACACAGGGAUCUGAACACAUUCCUGGAAGCUGAAGGCGUCCCACGUCUCUCAUGGUCACCACUCAGUGGACUUGUCACUGUUGAGCAUGUUUGGGAUGCUCUGGGUCGGCAUAUACGACAGCUUGAUCCAGUUCCUACCAAUAUCAACAUCAACUUUGCUCAUCCAUUGAAGAGGAGCAGACCUGCAGGAAACAGAUCCUCUGAUCUGUUUCAGUGAUGUAAACCUGCUAAGUUAUGGAAGUAGGGCAGCAGGACAAAAUCAGCAAAAAGGAUUCAGGAGGUUAGCUUUAUUAAAGAAUGACAUUAAUAACUUCAGACUAUACACAACAGAUCAUGUAUUUAAUGAAUUUUAACCCUUUAGAUGGCAAAUACGAAACUUGGAUUUUUCACAAUUGAUACAUGAAAAUACAUUUUAGCUUUUAUGAACUGUUAGUUUUUGUGUAAUCUGUAAAUAAAUUGCUCAACCUCUGUUCCUUAGGCACAAAGCGGGAAGAAUUGCCAUAGUUAUUAUAUAUGCAUAUGAUUAUAUUAUUAAAUUUUUUCUUCCAAGGUUACUGCUUUGUUUUUCCAUAAUAAAUAAGCAUCAAUUUUUAUGAGUCGCUAGAUUG